AGACAGAGGUGGCAAGCGUUGUUCGGAUUUACUGGGCGUAAAGAGCAUGUAGGCGGUUAGAUUAGUCAGUUGUGAAAUCCUAUGGCUUAACCAUAGAAUUGCAUCUGAUACUGUCUAGCUAGAGUGCAGAAGAGGAGAGUGGAAUUUCCAGUGUAGCGGUGAAAUGCGUAGAUAUUGGAAGGAACACCGGUGGCGAAGGCGGCUCUCUGGUCUGUAACUGACGCUGAGAUGCGAAAGCGUGGGUAGCAAACAGGAUUAGAAACCCCGGUAGUCC
rnacentral:rRNA from 1 species